AAGAUCAUACUUCACAGGAUCAUUUCUGUAGUAUAUCUUCACAUACUCCACAUUCAAUUGUGGAGUUGACGCAACCACGAUGAUGUGGGACAGCUUUGUAUCCUGAGCGUGAGGCAGACUAUUUUUGAUCUAAUCAGGUCAAACUCAGUCAUCGAUGAUCGUUCAGCACAAACAAUUGUUUGUGUGAUGGAUUCAGAGCAGUCUGAGUGGU